GACGGAGGAUGCAAGUGUUAUCCGGAAUCACUGGGCGUAAAGCGUCUGUAGGUGGUUUAAAAAGUCCACUGUUAAAGGUUGAAGCUUAACUUCAAAAAUGCUGUGGAAACUUUUAAACUAGAGUAUGGUAGGGGUAGAGGGAAUUUCCAGUGGAGCGGUGGAAUGCGUAGAUAUUGGAAAGACCACCAAUGGCGAAGGCACUCUACUGGGCCAUUACUAACACUGAGAGACGAAAGCUAGGGGAGCGAAUGGG
rnacentral:rRNA from 1 species